UACAGAGGGGGCGAGCGUUGUUCGGAAUUACUGGGCGUAAAGGGCGCGUAGGCGGCGGGGUAAGUCGGGUGUGAAAUCUCAGGGCUCAACCCUGAAACUGCACUCGAUACUGCUCUGCUUGAGGACUGGAGAGGAGACUGGAAUUCACGGUGUAGCAGUGAAAUGCGUAGAUAUCGUGAGGAAGACCAGUGGCGAAGGCGGGUCUCUGGACAGUUCCUGACGCUGAGGCGCGAAGGCCAGGGGAGCAAACGGG
rnacentral:rRNA from 1 species